rnacentral:rRNA from 1 species
UACGGGGGGGGCAAGCGUUGUUCGGAAUUACUGGGCGUAAAGGGCUCGUAGGCGGCCAACUAAGUCAGACGUGAAAUCCCCAGGCUCAACCUGGGAACUGCGUCUGAUACUGGAUGGCUUGAAUCCGGGAGAGGGAUGCAGAAUUCCAGGUGUAGCGGUGAAAUGCGUAGAUAUCUGGAGGAAUACCGGUGGCGAAGGCGGCAUCCUGGGACCGGCAUUGACGCUGAGGGAGCGAAAAGCCAGGGGGAGCCAA